rnacentral:rRNA from 1 species
AUUGAACGCUGGCGGCAGGCUUAACACAUGCAAGUCGAGCGGGGUGAUGGUGCUUGCACUAUCACUUAGCGGCGGACGGGUGAGUAAUGCUUAGGAAUCUGCCUAUUAGUGGGGGACAACAUCUCGAAAGGGAUGCUAAUACCGCAUACGUCCUACGGGAGAAAGCAGGGGAUCACUUGUGACCUUGCGCUAAUAGAUGAGCCUAAGUCGGAUUAGCUAGUUGGUGGGGUAAAGGCCUACCAAGGCGACGAUCUGUAGCGGGUCUGAGAGGAUGAUCCGCCACCAUGGGAGUGAGACACGGCCCAGACUCCGACGGGAGGCAGCAGUGGGGAAUAUUGGACAAUGGGGGGAACCCUGAUCCAGCCAUGCCGCGUGUGUGAAGAAGGCCUUAUGGUUGUAAAGCACUUUAAGCGAGGAGGAGGCUCUUUUGGUUAAUACCCAAGAUGAGUGGACGUUACUCGCAGAAUAAGCACCGGCUAACUCUGUGCCAGCCGCCGCCGUAA